rnacentral:lncRNA from 1 species
GGCCCUGGGAGAACCAUCUUCCCCGGCUCCUCAGUUCACACCUGCGUCCCCCUGGUUCCCGGGAGGGAGUAAGGGGCUUCAGAAAGUGUAAAGCAUUGGUGGGGGGCACCCCCGAAGCACAUGGAAGUUCCUGGGCCAGGGAUCAAAUGGGUGCUAGAGCUGCAGCAACACUAGAUCCUCAACCCACUGUGCCCGGCUGGGGGCCAAGCCUGCUCCACCACAGACAAUGUUGGAUCCUUAACCUGCUGCACCACUGCGUGAACGCCUGUCAAGCAUUUUUUUAAAUGCAUUUAUUCUGAUGUGUCAGGGGAAAAAUUGACCUCCCACAGUUUAAAUACAAUUUUCAUUGUGCUCGCACUAAUUUUCACCUUUAGCCGACUUUCUGAAACCAAGAGGCACAAACUCCAUGAGAGGAGAUUUUCAUUUGUUAACUCCUAGGUCACCAGCAGCCAAAACACAUACCGGGUGUGCCAUACACAGCAACAGAAUAAAAUUCCAAAGGGUCAGUAAAAGAGAGAUUUCUCUGGAAAAUAAAUGGGUUGGUUCUGCAGAUGCCUUCCUUGGGAAACAGUUUGGGCCGACAGAGAAACCCAGGAGUCAGGCCAUGUAUCCAAUUUGUCAAAAGUCCUAUUUCUUUGACUUCAAGUCUCUCUCCUGCCUGCUUUCUGUCACCCCCCAAUCAAAGAUGCCACAUCUGCUCGGGCAACUGCCACGGCCUCCACCCACCUGCAUGCAUUCGCUUUCGCCACUACGGUGUGUCCCCUGCUUUUUAACUCCAGCAAUCCUCUCAACACAGAAACCUGAUCUUGCCUCCUGUUGCUUAUAAACCCAUGACAGGUUUCCCAAACAAUCCGGACAAAGGCACGAUCCCUCCUAGGGUCUAACACCUGCAUGUCUGACCCCUUCUUCCAUUCACCCUUGUCUCUGCCACUGGGCUCUCUGCAGGCUCACCAGGCUACUUCCAUUCCCCUGGUCCCACAGGCACAUUACAGUCCCCUGCGCCGAAUGAAGCUUUAGCUCCUACGCAUCAUUCAGAGGUCAGCGCAAUUGUCACGUCCUCAGGGAAGCCUUCCAAGCCUUCCCUGACCUCCUCGCCCGGGUCAGAUCCCCUUUCGACAUUCUCAUAGCACCAGCUUCUCUAAUUUAGCAUGCGUGGUGGAAUUCUCAUUGAUUUGUAAGAUAAUUCGUAAUUCUCUCUUCUCCCCCUGGACUGUGUCUUCACAGGACUUCAUGUCUUCUUCGGCUCCCUGCUGAACUCCAGCACCCUGCCUGGCACACACACCCUGCCUGGCACAUCAUGCCAGCUGCAUAAGUCACUGCCGAAUGAAUGAAUGAGUAUUUAAAAACGCUUAAAGUUUGAUCAAGCAGAAAGUAUCCGGCAAGGCACAAGGAACGAAGGACAAGGUUUUAAAAGCCCCAUUUCCUCCCACAUCUGAAAAUAUGCGCAGAGAUUUUUUUCUUAGCAAAAAGAAAUAUCUCUUUCUCAGCAUGAUCUUUCCAACUUUUGACAUUUACUGAAAGGAGACGCCAGGCUACAGUCACUAAAAGCAGGAGUUCUGACUUUUGCAGGGCUGCUCAGUCAGGUGGUAUCUCCCAAUGUUCUUCGUGGAGAACAAGCUGAAACAGAUCUACGAUUAGAAACCACACAUGCCUCCACAAAGAAACAAGACUGACUGUUCCCGUCCCUCGGAGUUCGUCCACUUAGGAUCCACAGUCCAUUCAUUGUGGGGACAUGUCAUUUGCCAUAUAUUUCAUCUGAGGAAUUUUUUUUUAAGGAUAGAAAUGAAUUUAUCUGCAGACAAGAAACAGGCUCACAGACUUCGAAAAGCAUGGUUACCAAAGGGACAGGGGGAGAGGGAGGGGCUGGGGGGCUGGGAUUGGCAAAUGCACACGGAGGCCUGUGGCACGACUGGCCGACGGGGCCCUGCUGCAGUGCACCGGGAGCCGUAUCCCGCAGUCUGCGGUGACCCGUGCGGGCAAAGGGUCUGAACGGGAACGGAUGUUUCCAUGCGAAUGACUGACUCACUCUGCAGAAAUGACGACGACCCCUAAACCGGCCACAUCGCCAUCAAACAAAGGACUUUCUUAAAAGAAAUGGUCACCUGUCGAGAAGGAAAGAAAGGGAAAGGCGGGAAGGUGCAAAAUCACAGUCAAACCUCGCUUGAUUUUUCUCAAAAACAGAUUUCGGUAAGAUCAGCCAGCCCAGUCCUCAAGCUCGUCACCGUCACGGUCCCCUCGACUGGACCUUCGUAGGUCAGACCCCGUGUCCUGCUUCUCAUCUGUGCCCAAGACUCUCUUUGGCCAUAUUUGGACAUGCGGAAGUUCCUGGGCCAGGGAUCAAACCCGCACCACAGCAGGGACCUAAGCCGCAGCAGCUGAGAACGCCGGGUUCACAUACAGUAUGUGAACUCUCUGCAGUCUCCCAAAUCAAGAUAAACCCUGUCUAAGGCUAAAACUUCUCCAGCAUGUGGCCCUUCUCUGCCCAGCCAAUCUUAUUUCUCACCACUGACUCCAAACAUGCAAUGCUGAAUUUUCAUUUCUUUGUUUCUUUUGACUUUUUAGGGCCACACUCAAGGUGUUAUAGAAGUUCCCAGGCUAGGGGUUGAAUCAGCCCUGCAGCUGCCAGCCUACACCACAGCCACAGCCACGCAGGAUCUGAGCCUCAUCUGUGACCUACACCAUAGCUCAUGGCAACACCAGAUCCUUAACCCACGGAACGAGGCCGCAGAUCGAACCUGAGUCCUCCUGGAUCCAAGUCCAGUUCCUGACCACUAAGCCACAAGGAGCUGCAACGGCAGAUUUUCUCACUGUUUUCCUGAGAGAUGUUAUUUUUCUCCUGUUAUUAGAUCAAAUUGUCCCCCUUGCUUAGAAUCGCCCUUUCUUCCCUUCGAUUUUCAAGGCUCAGAUCAAGAGUCACUUUUAUAAAAUACUGCCAAGGCAAUGUCAGUCUUCUCUUCCAACUAAAUGGCGAAUAACUGGACCAUUUUGGUUUAUGCUACCUACUCUUUGGAUUAACUAGUAAAGUUCCAGACAUGGAAGACAUGCAGUGCCCCUGGCUCAUGGAUUAAUUACUUAGCUCAUUGACUGAUUGAUCAAACUCCUCAGUUAAAAAAAAAAAAAAAAUGCAUGCAGAGAUAUAAAGGAUUUCAGGCACAUUUGCUAAACUCAUUUGCAAAACAAUCUUUUUUCAGGAGUCAACAUAGCCUUUUUAUAUUUGCCUUUACAUUUUUUCCUUGCAAAUUUAGAAGAAGAACAAAAAACAACUAGCAACUAUGUGGAUCUUGGAUAAGAUCCUAACAUUAGGUUUUCUCAAAUCCCACAUUCAUCAGAUAUUUAUACAGUUUAAAAAGCACACUGACCUAUAUGGAAACUCCCCCUAAGUGAGGCUGCAUGUUUGUUUAGCUGUUGUAUAUCUUAGACAUGCACAGACGUCACACCAAGUCAAAAUAAAGAAAAAGAGAAAUGGGCCAAAAAGGAGCGUAAGAAGAAACUAUGUGCUGCUGGCUGCUUUGGGAUAAGAAGGGAACUGAUUUUUUUUUUUUUUAAUGCAUUUGCAACUUUCAGUCUCAUAGACUUACCCCCACUUCCAGCCCAAGCUCUCCGUCUUUAGCUUCAGAAUGCAACCACAGCUAAUCUACGCUGGGUACAUUUUUCAACUACAAUAUUGAAAGAACUAAAAAAACCAUGCGGUUUAUGUGAGCCAUGGUGCAGUCUGAGGAAGACCAGACAUAAAGCUUUGGUUUGAAAAGCAGGUGGUACUUAGUAGACCAUUGCCCUGUUUACAAUACAAAAACGGGGAAGUUUACAGUAUUAAAUCCCCAUUUGGCACAAAGCUGUGCCUUUGCACAGAGAGUGCUUUCUUCCAGAAGUGGCCCCUGAGCACGGCAACCCAGAUGUCAGGACUUUUAAGUUCUACCUCUCCCUAAUUUCUUCUACUUCUGUUUUCAGAUUCCAGAAUUCUGCAAAGCCUUCUACAAAAGUGCUAGUAAAGAUGACUAGCAUUUUAGGAGUGGCUGUGAACACCAAUUUCACUUGGUCUUAGCCAAAAGGCUGAGAAGCGACUGCUAACACUCAUUUCAGAGGGAAAAAAAAUGUAAUAACCCAUCCGCUAUGGAAAGUGCUACUAUUAGUAAAGUAUCUCUGAGAUAGUUUUUAAUCCAGAAAAAUGUAGAGAGAACCUACAAACAGCACUGAACACAAAACCCCUAAAGUAGUGCUGUCCAAUAAAAAGAUAAUACCCACUACAUGUCAUUUUAAGUCUUAUAACCAAAUGAAAAUAUGUAGACAAAUAAAAUUAACUUAUUUAUCCUACAUUACCCAGAAUAUUCAGAAUAUUAUCAUUUCAGCAUGUGAUCCAGAUAGCUCAUUAUAAAAGAGAGAUUUUAUAUCCUUUUUUCUUAUUAAGUCCUCAAAAUCUGGUGUCAGUUUUACGCGUAUAGCACAUCCAAAUCACAGCAGCCACAUUCCAAGGGCUUACAGCCACAUGUGGCCAGUGGCUUCUCACUGGCAAACGUAACUGUCAGGGCCAAGUCUGAGGUGAGAGAUUACAAACCAGAGUCAAUUUACCCCUUGUCUCAUUUCUUCCCGAUCCCCAGAAUACGCUGCAUAGCCAGUGGCCCUCAAAAUUCUUUACCACCUUUGCUGCUUUUCAUUAGGAAAACCGCCUUCUGUUUGCUGCAUAAAAGCAGUCAAGCUAGAUGGCCUGAGGUGAAACCCCACCUCCAUCUCUUACUGGUUGUCUGACAACUGUGGACAGAGCAUGAAAACUCUUCAUCUCUCUUGCUGUCGCUCAUCUACAAAACAACACAUGAAUAGAUCCCCUUACAGGCUUCUUGGCUCUUUUAAAUCUUUUUCAAAAAAAAAAAAUGGGUUGAUACCUGUCAAACGCUUAUGAGAGGGCUAGCGAAUGAUGUUUAAUAGCAACAUUAUUUCUUUAAGAGUUAGCUGUUAACACUACUUUGCAUGGUUUUUCAGACAUGAUGGAGAUGAGUAAAUAUCACCGGCUGGAAGACCCCUAGGAAAAUCCUGACUUGGAAGAAGCAGCUUCUCAAGGGAACUGACCCCUCUGCGCAUCCGAAUUAGAAUGAGGACUCAGAUGAGAACGCAGCUUUCCCUCAUUCGGCAGUACUUAGCCAGGUGCUCCACUGAGCAUCGCACAAGAUGCUGUCUCUGCUGCAGUGCAUUUCCACUCUCUUUUCCUUGCUUACAUCCGUCCUUAGGGUGACGUUUGUCUGCAAGCAGCCGAACACGCCCAUCGUUUUGGCUUUUGCAAAAAUACAGACGUUCAAAGACAGGGUUACAACCCCAGUCAUCGUGCAAUCCGAACUCCCCCUGGGAUCCGGCAGUGUUCCUCUCAGCCUUCCUCUAGCUUCAGUUCUGUCCGCAGACUGGCUUCUGCCAGGGUCACAGAAUGACUGCCACUAGUGAGGGGAGUGAUGCAGACAAAAAGGCAGCUCCGCCAGCUGCAGGGAAAACGGUGUCUACUGGGGGCAACCCGUAGUGGUGCAGAGCAGAAACCGCGCACUGAUCGGCUUAAGGCUGGGUUUUCUAAGCAUCUUUAGCAAAGGAGUGGAAUCGUCACCCCGAUCCAACACCACUCUCUGGUCCAGGAGGGAGCGUGUGGAGGGCUGAGGUGGGUGGCUGAAGGAGAGGAGGGUGGUGUCUGUCUGUUUGAUUUGGCUUUUUAGGUCCGCACUCACAGCACAUGGAGGUUCCCAGGCUAGGGGUCACAUCGGAGCUGCAGCUGCCCGCCUACACCACAGCCACAGCAAUGCCAGAUCCAAGCCACAUCGGCGACCUACACCACAGCUCGCUGCAACGCCAAAUCCUUAACCUGCUGAGCAAGGCCAGGGAUCGAACCUUCAUCCUCAUGGAUGCUGGUCAGAUUCGUUAACCACAGAGCCAUGACAGGAACUCCAAAAUUAGGUUUUGUUAGUUAGUAAGGAGGAACUGAAACUGUGUGGCUAGUCAACAGUGUCUAUCACACACUGCUAAAAAGGAAUUUAGAUUCCUGUGAUUGUCCUAAAGUCACUGAAGACUCAAAAGGUAGCUGGGGAGAAAUGAAAUUUAGGACAUGCAUGAUUUUUAUCCUAACUGCAUGGUCUGCUGUGUUUAUCAGUUCAGCCCUGUCUGAAAAGUGUUAAAUGAACAAAUACAUUUAAGACAAGGAAUAGAUUUAGAAAUAUGAUUGCAGCUCUACUUCUUACAACAUAAUUUCCUAGUCUAUUGCCUGUUCUCUUGGAAUUAGUUUUUCCUUUCCAACUCGCCCUUACAUAUGGGAGUCAGAUUAUUUUUCAUGAACGCCAACUUGCCCAUAUACCAUCUUUCAUUCAAACAAUUUCAGUGCUUUCCCAUGUCCAAAGGAGCACAGAAAGAGCACUGGAGGAGUUCUCUUGUGACAGAGAGGGUUAAGGAUCCAGUGUUGUCACUGCAGUGACGGAGGUUCUGUCCCUGGCCUGGGAACAUCCAUAUGCUGUAGGUGAGACCAAAAAAAAAAAAAAGCCUAGAUCGGAGUUCCCACCGUGGCUCAGUAGAAACAAAUCUGACUAGUACCCAUCAAGUCGCAGAUUCAAUCCCUGGCCUCCCUCAGUGGGUUAAGGAUCCAGCGUUACUGUGGCUGUGGUGUAGGCCAGCGGCUGCAGCUCCAGUUCAACUCCUAGCAUGGGAUCCUCCAUGUGCUGCAAGUAUGGCCCUAAAAAGACAAAAAAUUAAAAAAAAAAAAA